rnacentral:rRNA from 1 species
AGAGUUUGAUCAUGGCUCAGGAUGAACGCUAGCUACAGGCUUAACACAUGCAAGUCGAGGGGAAACGACAUCGAAAGCUUGCUUUUUGAUGGGCGUCGACCGGCGCACGGGUGAGUAACGCGUAUCCAACCUGCCCACCACUUGGGGAUAACCUUGCGAAAGUAAGACUAAUACCCAAUGAUAUCUCUAGAAGACAUCUGAAAGAGAUUAAAGAUUUAUCGGUGAUGGAUGGGGAUGCGUCUGAUUAGCUUGUUGGCGGGGUAACGGCCCACCAAGGCAACGAUCAGUAGGGGUUCUGAGAGGAAGGUCCCCCACAUUGGAACUGAGACACGGUCCAAACUCCUACGGGAGGCUUCA